rnacentral:rRNA from 1 species
AUUGAACGCUGGCGGCAGGCCUAACACCUGCAAGUCGAGCGAGCGGCGGACGGGUGAGUAAUGUCUGGGAAACUGCCUGAUGGAGGGGGAUAACUACUGGAAACGGUAGCUAAUACCGCAUACCAUCAGAUGUGCCCAGAUGGGAUUAGCUAGUAGGUGGGGUAACGGCUCACCUAGGCGACGAUCCCUAGCUGGUAUGAGAGGAUGACCAGCCACACUGAAACUGGGACAGGGUCCCGACUCCAACGGGAGGCAGCAGUGGGGAAUAUUGCACAAGGGGCGCAAGCCUGAUGCAGCCAUGCCGCGUGUAUGAAGAAGGCCUUCGGGUUGUAAAGUACUUUCAGCGGGGAGGCGUUACCCGCAGAAGAAGCACCGGCUAACUCCGUGCCAGCAGCCGCGGUAUAC